GAUGAACGCUGGCGGCGUGCUUAACACAUGCAAGUCGAACGAUUAAACUGGCUUCGGCCAGAUAUAGAGUGGCGAACGGGUGAGUAACACGUGACCAACCUGCCCCGCGCUCCGGGACAACCGCUGGAAACGGCGGCUAAUACCGGAUGCUCCGGGGAGGCCCCAUGGCCUCCCCGGGAAAGCCUUAACGGCGCGGGAUGGGGUCGCGGCCCAUUAGGUAGACGGCGGGGUAACGGCCCACCGUGCCCGCGAUGGGUAGCCGGACUGAGAGGUCGACCGGCCACAUUGGGACUGAGAUACGGCCCAGACUCCUACGGGAGGCAGCAGUGGGGAAUUUUGCGCAAUGGGGGAAACCCUGACGCAGCAACGCCGCGUGCGGGACGAAGGCCUUCGGGUUGUAAACCGCUUUCAGCAGGGAAGACUUUGACGGU
rnacentral:rRNA from 1 species